UACUACAGCCUGUAUUGAUCUCCGCCUUCCACUCUCAUGCGCAUGGUAGACGGGAACGAUCUUGCGCGGGAACGGCCAUGAUUGUAACAGAGACAAUCACUUAAAGAGAGUAAAAAACGGUUCUCUCGCCGGUGGCCGGUAACCAUAGUUGCUCUCUCUUUCGUUCUGCUUGACUGAGCUGUUAGCUUUUAGUUUUUAAGCAUUGAAAUAGAAAACCCAUCAACGAAAGGAAACUGCCCAGUUAUCUCUCCCCGAUUCUUCCGCUUUUGAAUUCUAUCCCACUCCUCCCUUUUUUUUCUAUCCAUAUCCACAUUCAGAUAUCUUCGGCUCCCUCCAUUAACGGGAAGAUAUAUACCAGCUUCGUGAAAUCUCUUUUUCUUUUAUCUCUGCGUCUGCUUUCUAUUUGAAAUAAGAGAGAGCUCGAAGAACCAACGUCGCUUCCCUGCAUCUGCUUCUGUUCCGCUUUCCACCCACUUCUUCGAUUUUGGACUUUGAUCCAUCUGUUUUGGUUAAAAUUCGGAAUCUAAAGUGGUGGAGGUCAAACAUUUGUAUUUAAGUUGUUUUUUUCUUUCAUCUUGAAUUUUCAUUUGUCAAGGGCGUUCUUCUUUAUUGAUAAUCCUAGCCCUUUUCCUUUCCCAUCGUCCGUAGAUAAUGAAUAAUAUCUUUUGUUUGUGUUUUGAAUUACUUUACUUCUUCAUAUCAGUGAUCAGAUCAUGUUUCCCUUUUUGCUACAUCAUCAAUUUUAGAAGCAUAUGAUGGAAUUUUCUUCUCCUCAUGGCCCCAUUAUUUCAUUUUCCCUUUUUAUGUAAUGCUUUGAUCGGAUUGUCAAGACUGUAUUCGGCUCCUUGUGUAAGAGAUCUUCACCACAACAGAUUGAUUCGUAUUAAGCUCAUCUGCAUGAGGAAGCAUUUUAAUUAGGCCCUUUGAUGUUCUCACUGGUUCUUCAUUAGAUCGACCAAGCUUCUUCUUGGAGGGAGAAGUUUGCUAGAAGAUACCCUUGCUCGGAGGCAGAGGUGGCCAAUCAUGUCAGGUUUGAGUACUGAGGCUGCACUUGAUUUUAUUGUCAGAAGGACAAGGUUUGACGCCAAGCCACACGGGCGCUCACUCAAGAAUGCUGAAUCCUUCCUCUGCACCUUUAAAUUCACAUAGAUGCAUACAUCCUAGUAAAGUCAAGGAAGCCACUGACAAUGAAGAAGGUAGUUAGAUGAUGGGAAAAUUUAGAACAAAGAUGUGAACCAAGUUCAUUAUCCAUUUAUAAACAGUUGUACAAACUGAAAAGGAAGUUGUAUGUUAAAGAAAAAGCAUUAUUGAAAGGAAAAUGUAAAGAAAAGAAAAAAAGUUGAAUUGGAAGAAAAGGAAGACAACAUGGCAUGGAAUCUCCUGCAUUGCUCCAACUGUUUCCUGAUAACAAAGGACAGGGAACUAGACAAAGAAUAAAGUACAUGUGGAAUAAGCUGCAAUUGACGAAAUGCCAUCUUGUGCUUAUUUUUUCUUCUCGUUUCUUUAUUGAAUCUUUGGAGCACAAUUUGCUAUGGAAUUAUCUAACUUGAGUUGCGUGA